rfam:Caenorhabditis japonica strain DF5081 Contig6017.1, whole genome shotgun sequence.
CACUACCUGUGAAUGGAUAAGGCACCAGACUUCGAAUCUGGGGAUUGCAGGUUCGAGUCCUGCCGUGGUCG